UGCCCAUUGGCCCAAUGGUUAAGGCGUCUGACUGUUAUCAAUCAUGACAACAAAAAUCAGAAGAUUCCUGGUUCGAUCCCAGGAUGGGCAG